GAUCUCUUAUGCUCAACUGUUUCAGCGUGCUGCUCUGUAAAUAGUAGUUUGUUGACAUAACCAAAUUUGGCUAAAAAGAAUAUAAAAUAAAUUGGUUGUGUGGCUAUGUUUGCAUAAAACUCAACUUUACCACUUGUCUUUUGACUUUCUUACGGGAGGGUUUUUUUUUUUUUCCUCCCUCGACCUUCUUUACUCUCUCUCUACAUUUCAUAUAACAAUAAAACCAAGUGCCCAUAGGCUACUGUUUUGAUCCUAUUUUUUUUCAUUUGAUUAGAGAUUGCAAAUUGAUAAAACUUGUUUUUGCUAGUUGGUAACACGAUAUUCAGUUGACUUAGCAUAUAUAUCUUAACUUGCUAUUAUACAGUGAUAUUAAUAAAAACGAUGGAAGGAUAAUUUAUUAUUCUAAGGUAGACUUCUAUGUUAGAGAGAAACAAUCACUCUAAACAUAUAUCGCAUCUUUGAAUACAUAUUGUGCUAUUCUGUUGCCUUAUAUAUUGUUGAAAUUUCUAUUAAAAAAAGAAAAGAAAAAAAAGGAGAGACGAAGCGUCACAGAAGAUAGAAGACUUAUUUUGUUCAUUAUUAUUAUUAUUAUUAUUAUUGCUCAUAUUUGAUUGCAAUUAAUGCAUUUACUACCUUGGUGUGAUAUAAAAUUUGAUUUGUCUUCUAAUGUGAAACACAUACUUGAUAUUUGCUCUUUUAUUGUAAGGCCUCAAACACCCUUGACAUUGCUCAUGUGCCCCAAAUAAAUAAAAUAAAAGGGGAUUGUAUAUUAUCUUUGAUAUGGUGAGCCUUGUAUAAUUAUAGGAAGUCUAAACUGGGGUAACACAAUCUGAUAAUGGGGUAAGGCAAUCUUGUUGUGCUGAAUGAUGGUACCAUGGUCGGGGUCGGGGUUUUCAUUUGGAAGAACUUGAAGUGCAUUUGUAAAUGGGACAUAUAAGUGUGAUUAUUCUUUGUAAUGAUCUUUCUAUGGUAUCUUGUUCUAUUGAAUCUUUGGAAUGGUUGAUAUAUGAUAUCUAAAUUUCAUAGGCAUGGAGACCCAACCUUCAACUAUGCCUCCAACUUCAACACCUAAGAGUAGUUCCCAAAAAAAUUCUCAGUAGAGUACUACUCGAGAACUUUCUUUCAUUCAAUUUAUGGUAGAGGUCAAAAAGAAUAGAGAAACUAAUAGCCAACAUAAGAUUGGGAAGAAAAAGGGACCUCCUGUGGGCUUCCAGCAAAAAAACUGUGAUAAGAUGAGUGUUGGGUGAUUGCUUUGUGGGGUCCAACCCCAUAAGGAGUGAAAAGAAAAAAACAAAAGGACCCAACAAAAUAAGAAAGGGUUAGAGAGAGAGCGAGAGAACAUAGAUUGUGUUUUAAAAAGACAAAACAAAAAGCGUUUUUUUUUUGAGACACUCUUUGCAAGCAAAGAUAGGGUUCUUUGAAGGCUUUUGGAGAGAAGAGAGUGCAUGUUUGUAGCAAGAUUUCCAUCACCAUUCUCAGGCCAUCCAAAUGCCAUUUUUGCUAUCUCUCACGCCCAACACUCGGUUGGAAAACCGGAGCAGUUGGUGUGCUUUCUAGUUGUAUCUUUAAGCCAUUGGAAGACCAUUUUUUUUGGGACUUUUUGAGGUGGAAAAAAGAUGAUCUUGUUGGUGCUUGUGAGGUAACUUUGUAUCUUCUCUAAGUUAUUGUUGUUCUCUCAUUUGAUUGUAAGCCUCAAGUUUUGGGCAAAAACUUGAGAAGAAACUAUAUUGUAACCUUGAUUUAUUCUUAAUGGAUUCCUCUCUCGGAUUUAUCCCUUGGUUUUUCCCUUCACAUUGAAAGGUUUUCCACUUUAAAUCUUGUGUUGUGAUUGUGCUUGGUGGAACUUUCCUUUCAUUUUUUUUGUGAUUUGUGAUUUCUUUUUUUGUAGGCACUUAGCAAAUUGCCCAUUUUCAGUAUUUGAAUAAACAUACAUUAUUGCUAUGUUUUUACCUUUGAUUCACACAUAAAAGGGAAUGGCAUUGCAUCCCAACAACUGGUAUCAGAGCAUUUGCACAUCAAAUGUUUGUUUUUAUUCGUGUGUGAAUCAAAGAUGGAUGCAAAUACCUUUACACGGAUGAUUAGUUUGAAUAGGGGUAAUUGGUCAAUUUGGAAGGCCAAGAUGGAAGACCUUAUUUAUUAUAGAGACCUCUAUUUGCCAAUUGAGGGGAUAGAGAAGAGGCCGGAAACCAUCACCGAUGAUGAUUGGAAGUUAGACCGGAAAGCAAUGGCUUGCAUCUGACAAUGGUUGGAUGAUAUUGUGUUCCACCAUGUAUCAACAAAAACUAAUGUAAUGUCCUUGUGGAAGAAAUAAAAUGAUUUGUAUGAGAAAAAGACAGCCGAAAAUAAGGCAUUUUUAAUUAGAAAACUUGUAAACUUAAAGUUUAAGGAGAACAGAUUGGUUGCGGAGCACUUGAAUGAAACACAAACCAUUGUAAAUCAGUUGGCGGCUAUGAAAAUGGUGCUAGAUGAUGAGUUGCAAGCAUUGUUAUUAUUGAGCUCAUUACUUGACACUUGGGAGACGCUCGUUGUAUCCCUUAGCAACUCGGCAUCCGAUGGGAUUGUUACCAUGAGCCAAGUUAUAAGUAGUUUGUUGAAUGAAGCGAUGAGAAGAAAAUCUUCAAAUUCCUCCCACUCACACGCAUUAGUCACUGAAGAAUGGGAGAGACCGAAGAAUAGAGAAAAUCAUAAUUGAAACAAAUCAAAAGGGAGAUCCAAGUCGAGAAAAGGAGUGACGUGUUACUAUUGCAAUAAGCCCAAACAUAUGGAGAAGGAGUGUCGGAAAUUCAAAAGAAAUCAAAAAGAAGGAAAAUGUGGUGAUGGAAAUAAAGAACAUCAGGAAACCAUUGCAGUUGCCUCCGAUGACAUUAUAAUAUUCUUGACGUGUGGUGAAGGUUGUGUUAGUGCAGCAUGUGAUGAUUCAAAUUGGGUGAUUGAUUCACGAGCAUCAUUCAAUGCUAAUUCAUACAGAGAUUUCUUUACCAUGUACAAGUCGAGAGACUUUGGUUCGAUAAGGAUGAGAAAUAAUAAAGUAUCUAAAAUUGUUGGAAUGAGUGAUGUUUGCAUUACUACCAAUACUGGCUACAAGUUGGUCCUCAAGGAUAUGAAAUAUGUUCCAGACGUUAGAUUGAAUCUCAUAUCAACAGGAAUGCUUGAUGAUGAAGGGUAUGAGUCACAGUUUGGCAAUGGAGUGUUGAAGUUGAAAAAAGACUAUCUUGUUGUGGCAAGAAGCAAGAAAAGCUGCUCUCUCUACAAGACUGAACAACUGUCCAAAGGAGAGGUGAACACUGCCCUUGAAGUAUCUUUAUCUGCCUUGUAGCAUCAACGACUUGGUCACAUGAGUGAGAAAGGUUUGGAGAUUCUGACGAAGAGAAAUUCUUUUCCAAGUCUAAAAGGUAUGUCCUUAACUCCUUGUGAUCAUUGUUUAGUAGGAAAACAUCAUAGAGUUUCCUUUUCACAUGCUAAAACUAAACGGGAUACUGAAAUACUUGAUUUUAUUUACUCCGAUGUAUGUGGCCCUAUGACUGUGAAAACUCUUGGUGGUGCUUUGUAUUUUGUCACUUUCAUUGAUAAUGCAUCCAUGAAAGUUUGGAGUUUUGCCAUGAAGAGCAAAGACCAAGUAUUUGAAUUUUUCAAAAGUUUCAUAUCAUAGUUGAAAGACAAACAUCAAAGUCCUUGAAAUGCCUUUACACAGAUAAUGGUGGAGAGUAAACCUCAAAGAAGUUUGAGGACUAUUGUGCCAAACAUGACAUACGACAUGAGAAGACUGUUCUUUCCACACUGCAACAUAAUGGUGUUGUAGAAAGAAUGAAUCGUACUAUAAUGGAUAAGGUUAGAAGCAUGCUUUCCUCAGCUAAGUUAGCAAAUGAGUUUUGGGGUGAAGUUAUGAAUACGACAUGCUACUUGAUAAAUCUAUCUCAUUUGGCUUCAUUGGAAGGGGAUGUGUCAUAAAGAGUGUGGACCGGCAAGGAUGUAUCCUACUCACACUUGAGAGUCUUUGGAUGUAUGGCUUUCAUACAUGUACCUAAAGAGCAUCGAAGUAAGUUACAUGACAAAGCAACCCAAUGUGUAUUUCUGGGUUAUGAAGAUGAUGAAUUUGGGUACAGGUUGUGGGAUCCCAAGGCUAAGAAGCUGCAUAGAAGCCGAGAUGUGAUCUUUCGUGAAAACCAAACACUUUUCGAUUUUGAUAAGGAGGAACUGCCAAAGAGGCUUGUAGAUGAGCUACUAGAAGCACAAGCCCUUUUACCCAUACAUAAUGAUGAUGGGCAGCAAGUUCAAGAUGAAGAUGGCCAAGUUUGAGGUGGCGAGACUCCUCAAAAUGAUGAUGUACAUGAUGAUGUUGAGCAGGGGGAGCAGCCUCCUCAAGAAGAAUGACCUAUGGUGAGAAGGUCACAAAGGGAACGAAAAACCUAAACAAAAUAUCCAUCAUUAUAGUAUGUUACACUCACUGAAAAUGGUGAACCAUAAAGUUUUAAAGAAGCUAUGGUACAUAAGCAAAAUUAACAAUGGAAGAAAGUCAUGCAAGAAGAACUUGAGUCCUUGCAUAAGAAUAAAGCCUAUGAGCUUAUUGAGCUACCAAAAGGACGAAAAGCUUUGAAGAAUAAGUGAGUAUUUAGGUUGAAAAUUGAAGAUGACAAGAAGAAAAUGAGGUACAAGGUAAGGCUGGUUGUCAAGGGAUUCGGGCAUAAAAAGGGUGUUGAUUUUGAUGAAAUCUUUUCUCCCGUUGUGACGAUGACUUCUAUUCGCACCAUCCUAGGCCUACCGGCUAGUCAAGACUUGGAGAUUGAGCAGUUAGAUGUCAAGACAACUUUCUUGCAUGGAGAUCUAAAGGAAGAAAUAUAUAUGGAAUAACCAGAAGGUUUCCUAGUGAAGGGCAAGGAGCACAUGUUAUGCAAGUUAAAGAAGAGCUUGUAUGGAUUGAAGCAAGCUCCACGGCUGGUACAAAAAAUUUGACUAUUUAAUGAUGAGUCAUGGUUUACGAGAACCACUAUAGACCACUGUGUUUACCUUAGAAAGUAUUCUAAUCUUCGUUUAUUAUUCUCAUGUUAUAUGUUGAUGAUAUGCUUAUCGUUAGUCAAGAUGCUAAUUUGAUUGACAGGUUGAAGAAAGAAUUGAACAAUGUUUUUGACAUGAAGGACUUAGGGGCUGCAAAACAAAUUUUGGGCAUGACAAUCAAGCGUGAUAGGAAGAACAAAAAGUUGUGGCAAAUUCAAGAAAGGUACAUUGAGAAGGUACUUGAAAGAUUCAACAUGAAGUAUACCAAGCCAAUCGAUACACCAUUAGCUAGACACUUCAAGUUGAGUUUCAAGUUAUCUCUAACCAGCAGUGAAGAGAAGAAAGAAAUGGAGAAGAUCCCCUAUACUUCAGCCAUAGGAAGUUUGAUGUACUCUAUAUUGUGCACAGUGCCUGAUAUAGCACAUGCCACCGGCGUAGUUAGCAGAUACUUGGUAAAUUUAGGCAAACAACAUUGGGAAGCUGUAAAAUAGAUUCUAAGGUAUCUAAGAAGCGCAUCUAAAGUUUGUCUAUGUUUUGGAAACUCAUCACCUUUGGUGGAAGGCUACUUCGGGUUACAUGUUUACGUUUACAGGAGGAGCAAUUUCUUGGCAAUCAAAGGUGCAAAAAUGUGUUGCACUCUCGAUUACAGAGGCAGAGUAUAUUGCUGCCACAGAAGCCUGUAAGGAGAUGCUAUGGUUGAAAAGUUUUCUUAUGGAGUUGGGUUUGAAGUAAAAGGAGUAUGUAGUUAGAUGUGACAGUCAAAGCGCUAUUGAUCUGAGCAAGAAUGCUGCAUUCCACUUUAGAACCAAACACAUUGAGGUGUGGUACCAUUGGAUUCGACAUGUCUUAGAAAAUAGGUUCAUGAAGAUUUACAAAAUACAUACCGACCAGAAUCUGUUAGACAUGAUGACGAAGACACAGAGCUUUGGCAGGCAUAGGUGCCAUGUGAGCAUCCAGUAUGGGGGAGCCCUCCUCAUGGGUCUGGAGGGGGAGUUUGUUGGGUGAUUACCUUGUGGGAUCCAGCCUCAUAAAGGAGUGAAAAGAAAAACAAAAAACCAACAAAAUAAGAAAGGGUUAGAGAGAGAGAGAGAGAACGUAGAGGGUGUUUUAAAAAGAUAAAACAAAAAGGGUUUUGUUUUGGAGACACUCAGCUGAAAAACCGGAAUAGUUGGUGUGCCUUUCGGUGGUAUCUCCAAGCCAUUGGAAGACCAAUUUUUUUUGGCCUUUUUGAGGUGGGAAAGAGAUGAUCUUGUUGGUGCUUAUGAGGCACUCAGCAAAUUGCCCAUUUUCAGUAUUUGCAUAAACAUAUACUGUGGCUAUGUUCUUACCUUUGAUUCAUACAUAGAAGGGAAGGACAUUGCUUCGCAACAAUGAAUGCUAAGAUGGUGGCCUUGUAUGGUGAAUCAUUCGACCGUGAGAGAAUGGAAAACAAGCACAAAUUGAUUAGAAAAAUGUACUCUGAGCUGAAGAAAAUGAUCCGGUCAACUGGCUUUGGAAGGGAUCCACUGAGAGGUAUGGUGACGGCAGAGAAUGAACUUUAGGAUCAAUAUAUAAAGGAUUACCCAUGGGCUGGCAAGUUUAGAGGUAAGAGUGCUCAUGAUGUUAACGAGCUGGACAAAAUAUUUGGAGACAUUGUUAUUGAUGGGAGGCAUUGUGAGACUUUGGUUGACAGAGGCACCGAUGAUAAUGCACCUCCCUAUGAAUUGAAUGAUUCACUAAUAGAGUCUCCUCACUUAGAUACUAGUGAUGAGGAUAACGAUAUAUCCACCCCAAGCAAUGCUCGUAGAACAUCAUCGAGGCAAUAUAAGAGGCCCCGCCCUUAUACUCCCUCUGAGGUGUCUCAAAAGAAAAGGCAAAGCACUCUUACUGAACAAGUGGCUCAAGUUUAACUAAAUUGAUGGAAACUAUGACAGAGAUGAUGAGUCUCCGAGCUCCCAUUCGACCUGAGAUAAAGAUGAAGAAAUGCAUGGAUAUUGUUGACGAGCUAUAUGAGAAAGGGGAGGUAGGCUUAGAAGCCAUCUUGAAGGCUACCAGUAUUUUCCAAAGUACAUCUAAAGUUCAUAUGUUCCUAGCCUUGCCGUCUGAGUGCCGAGGGGCGUUUUAAGAGGAGGAGAUGAAACAAAUGGCAAAUUAAUAUUUUGGUGUGAAGUUUUUUUUUGGGUUUAUUUUAUUUUAUUUUAUUUGGACUCAUAAAAGUUUACUUUUGGCAGUCUAAGCACUCAUUUUUUUUUUGUCUUGACCUAUAUAUGAAUGGAUGAACGAACUUCAUGCCUUGGAGUAGUUUUCCUAUUGAUGUAACGAGACCUUCUUCUUUUAAUGAAAAUACUUAACGUUAUGCUUA